GUGACUUUUCUAUUGUUCUCGUGCCAUCGCUUUUGUCACUGUACACAAACAAAGUAUAUUUGUGAAUAUAAUUAAUAAUAAAAAAUGUUUAACGGAAAGACGAGAUAACAAAAUUAUAUUUGUAGAUAUAACCAAGAUAAUAAAUCGUUUUUUAUUAAAUGAACCAGAUAACUACCCGGAGACAAGCCACGAAAUGAAUUGGUCAACUCUACUCACUGUAUGGAUGAUUGUUUCUUGUAUCACCACGACGCAUGUCCAUAGUUAUUUCCAAAUUGUCCCGUACAAUUUUACAGGAAAAUUAGACAAAAAGGUUGCAUCUACAUUUUUAUGUCAAAAUGGCUGCAGAUAUGCACAAAGGUACCAGGGUGAGGAAGAACGAAUAAGAGAAAUAGAAGAAAGGAUAGAAGAACCAGAAGAAAUUAUUAUAUAGAGUAAAUGUACUUAGCUGUAAAACAAUUCAUUUCUCCCAAUUUUUUACCACUACAAAUCUCAGAAUUGCGAUUUUCUUUCAUUUUGUAAUUUUGCAAGGUUAUUUAUACGUAAUUAAAUUCUAUUAA